GACGAACGCUGGCGGCGUGCUUAACACAUGCAAGUCGAACGGAAAGGCCCUGCUUUUGUGGGGUGCUCGAGUGGCGAACGGGUGAGUAACACGUGAGUAACCUGCCCUUGACUUUGGGAUAACUUCAGGAAACUGGGGCUAAUACCGGAUAGGAGCUCCUGCUGCAUGGUGGGGGUUGGAAAGUUUCGGCGGUUGGGGAUGGACUCGCGGCUUAUCAGCUUGUUGGUGGGGUAGUGGCUUACCAAGGCUUUGACGGGUAGCCGGCCUGAGAGGGUGACCGGCCACAUUGGGACUGGGAUACGGCCCAGACUCCUACGGGAGGCAGCAGUGGGGAAUAUUGCGCAAUGGGCGGAAGCAGGAUGCAGCAACGCCGCGUGCGGGAUGACGGCCUUCGGGUUGUAAACCGCUUUCGCCUGUGACGAAGCGUGAGUGACGGUAAUGGGUAGAGAAGCACCGGCUAACUACGU
rnacentral:rRNA from 1 species